CUGCUUGCCCGUUUCCCCAGACCGCACGGUCGCGGGGGCCCCGCGCGUGCCGCGCCCCUAACUCCGCCCUCCGUGGACCAAAACCGGCCUCGCCGCUGUUGGGUGUCUUGCCCCCCCCCCUUGGCCGCCGUGGCUCGGGGGGGGGCCGUCCCCGGGCGAAGUGCUCUCGGUCCUCCGAGGAAGGGGAGGAGGGAGGCGCGCGGGGGGUGUUGGGGCUGGGCGUCGUUGCGCGUGUGCGGGAGAGCGUUCUCGGGAGAACCGGUCGCGUGAACGGUGGCGGUUGGGGCCCCCGAGCCCCGCGAGGUUGCUUGGGGCCCGCCGUGGGGGCCGGGCCGGCGUCCUCGGGUGCCGCGGGACCGCCCUUGCGCUGGAGGCCUCGGGCGGUGGGACCCCGCGUGCGCCCCUGGGCGCCCGACCUCGGCCUCCCAGGUGCCUUCUGAGGCUUCCCGAAAGCCCCUCGCGGUGGCCCGCGGUCCUCUCCUCCACCGCUCCCGCUCGCCGUUCUCCGGCGCCUGGCUGGCCCCUGGCCGCCGGGGCGUCUCCCGUCCGCGGCCUUUCCCGAAAGCCCGCCCCCGUCCGUCGUCCGUCUUGCCGACCCGGUGCCGCGCUCCCCGGGGCGCCCGGCGCUUCCCGGGCCCGCUGCGGCCUUCCCGCCCGCGCCCGCCGCUCGCCCCCGCCCCCCCGGCGGUGGCGUUGUGUGGUGACGAGGGGCCGCCGUCGUCUCCCGCCGCCCCCCACCCCCGCCGGCCGCGUCCCCGCCCUGGCGCGCGCGUGCCCCGGGCGUGGGUCGGGUCCCCGGCGUCCGCUCGCCGGGCGUCCCCGUCCCCCGCCCGCGGGCCGCCGCCGCCGCCGCCGCCAUCGGGGCCGUCCGGAGGGGGAGAGGGUGGCGGGUGAAGCGCCCUCGUCUCCCCGCGCCGCCGCCGCCGAGGUGUGCGCGCCCCGGUCCGUGGGGCGGGACCGGCCGCUCGGCCGGUCGGUCGGUUAG
rnacentral:lncRNA from 12 species